rnacentral:rRNA from 1 species
GACGAACGCUGGCGGCGUGCCUAAUACAUGCAAGUAGGACGCAGUUGCGAACGGGUGAGUAACGCGUAUGUAACUGCCUAUUAGAGGGGGAUAACUAUUGGAAACGAUAGCUAAUACCGCAUACUCGUAGAUGGACCUGCGUUGUAUUUGGUAGUAGGUAGGGUAAUGGCCUCACUAGGCGACGAUACAUAGACGAACAGAGUGGGUGAUCGGACAAACUGGGAAUGAGAAACGGCCACGAAUCAUAAGGGAGGCAGCAGGAGGGAAUCUUAGGAAAUGGGGGGAACACUGACCGAGCAACGGCGGGUGAGGGAAGAAGGUUUUAGGAUCGUAAAGCUAUGUUGUUAAAGAAGCGGUACUUAACCAGAAAGGGACGGCUAACUACGUGCCAGCAGCCGCGGUAAUAC